rnacentral:rRNA from 1 species
AUUGAACGCUGGCGGCAUGCUUUACACAUGCAAGUCGAACGGCAGCGCGGGGCAACCUGGCGGCGAGUGGCGAACGGGUGAGUAAUAUAUCGGAACGUACCCAGGAGUGGGGGAUAACGUAGCGAAAGUUACGCUAAUACCGCAUACGAUCUACGGAUGAAAGCAGGGGACCGCAAGGCCUUGCGCUCAUGGAGCGGCCGAUAUCUGAUUAGCUAGUUGGUGAGGUAAAGGCUCACCAAGGCGACGAUCAGUAGCUGGUCUGAGAGGACGACCAGCCACACUGGAACUGAGACACGGUCCAGACUCCUACGGGAGGCAG